ACAUGCUUGCAUUAAUUCAGUAUUUCAUGAUUCAGGAGUAGUCUGGUGGUCCAUUGGUUUGUCUUGCGGAAAAAAGGCACAAAAUUGACACCAUUUUUGGAAUUGCAAGUUGGGCUGUCAACUGCGAGAAAAAACUCUAAGCCUGGCAUCUACACCAAUGUGCCAUAAUUUGUCGACUGGAUUGGUGAAAUAAUGAGUGAAACAGGACAAAUCCAUUCAAGUGCUGGCAACCUGAAUCCCCAUCAGACGGAAAAUAUGGAGCCGGAAGGAACAGAAGCUGUGAGGAUGUGGUACUACGCAGUCACCUGGAGAAAUUAACAUGGAAACCAAAGGCCAGAUGUAUCUCAAUGGUUUCAG